UCUGAAUUAGUUGGGAAUCCAUAUAAUUUAAGGAUUUGGAAAUUGCAAGUCAUCUGUAUUCGUUCUUGUCGGAAGCAUUAAUUGUGAUAUCUCCGCCAGUUAGAUUUGCAAAUAUUAGGAGGUAACCCAUGCAUCCUCUUAAACAUCGAUCACACCUGAGACAGACGAGAGAGAGAAGUUGAAACUCCACCAUGAAAGGUGGUGUCUGGUCAGCGGAGGAACCCGCAUGAAUGGCACAGGCCACUCCUAUUCUCUAGUGCAUUUGUUACACGGACCAACUAAGUUUUAUUUUUAAAUAUCUUUUAUGUAUGUUAAAAUACUUAAUUAUCCUUGAAUGUAUUUAAUAAUUACAAAAAAAAUCCAUAAUAAAAUGAUAAAAAAAUUAAUUUAAAGAUCUUUUAAAAAAAUAAAACUGAAUUUUAACUUAAUAAACCGAGUUAAACCGAGUUAACUUCAAGUCAGGUUAAACAGAAUUAAUUUAAAGAUUUUUCUAAAAUAAUGCAGCGCCCGGAACUCUUCUAAUUUCUCUGUUUCUAAUACGAUAUAUUCCUCAUCUCCUACAUAGUAGAACUUUAUCUUGCAGACCAGGAAUGUUAGAGAAUAAUAUAAAUCAUAUCAUGGGACCUCACCCAAUAGCUUAAGCUAUUGAGUUGAGAUGGUUCUUUGACAUGGUAUUAAAGCCUUGAUGACCAAGCGGUCACGAGUUCGAAUCUCACAAUCCCUAUUUAUUUGAUAAAAAUUAAGCACAAGGUAAUGUGGACCUGUGUAAGUUUCAAGUCUAAAGGGCUUUCACUUGAAGGGGUGUGUUAGAAAAUAAUAUAAAUCAUAUCAUGGGAACUUACCUAAUAGUUUAAGUUAUUGAAUUGAGAUAAUUCUUUAAUUUCACAAGGAAUACAAUUAAACACAAGGCACAAAGAUUUGGAGGAUGACUGACCGUAAGGUUUGAGUGAGCAAGGCGUCUUUGGCAUGAUCAUUCUCUGCUCUUGCUUUGACUAUUUGAAACAUUAGAUCAAGCCUGAGUUGAUUUUCAGAGCUCUGCUUGGAGAUUACGUUAGUUUCCUCUCUCAGUUUGGCAGCCUCUUCGCUUAUUUCUUGAAAUCUUUUCCUGAUUUCCUUCUGUCCCUCUCUUAUGCGUUUUUGUCCCUCGCUGAUCUCAACCAUGUCAGCUCUUAUCCUUCUGACGCUCCUGCUUAAUUUCCUGUCAUUAUUUUCUCGUUUCUGUUUCAAGUAAUCUUAGAUUGUUAGAAAGUAAACAAACAAUAAUGAAAAUGACAGUCACAAUUUGAGACGUACAAUCUAAUUCUAAAACACACAAGUCCAAAAACAAUAAAACGAAGAAUGGCAUGCAAUUCUAAAUUAUACCUGCGGAAGUUUUCUUCGAGUUGCUCCGAGAGAAGUCCUCUCGCCAACUAAUUUUGUAUAAAUGCAGCUCUUCAUGAUCAACCUGCACAUGCAUGAGAGUUUUGCUACGGUGAUGGUGAUAACUUCGCGAUCUAAGUGUUUAUUUAGAUCGCAAAAUAUAUAAAUAAACCUGUGAACGAAACGUAGGUCGGUCCGCGGAUAUCGAAAGCAAGUUGCCCACUCUUUUCCUCUGGGCCCCUCGCUAUAUUGGUUGGCAUUAAAAAACGAAGAAGACAAUAGUAUUGUGUCUUAUCUUUGAUCGUGCGAUACCACGCGAAGGAUGCUGCCCGAUCUCAAGCUUUCGCACGAUGAUGGCCUUGUGAAGAGCGAAACCGAACUUUGUUUUGACAUCUGUACUUGUGAUGCAGUUAAGUCUGACUUAGUUGGGAAUCCAUAUAAUUUAAGGAUUUGGAAAAUGCAAGUCAUCUGUAUUCGUUCUUCUCGGAGCAUUAAUUGUGAUAUCUCCGCCAGUUAGAUUUGCGAAUAUUAGGAGGUAACCCAUGCAUCCUCUUAAACUUCGAUCACACCUGAGACAGACGAGAGAGAGAAGUUGAUAUUCAAAAGGUAAAAUUUUC
rnacentral:lncRNA from 1 species